rnacentral:rRNA from 1 species
GUCGAGCGCCCCGCAAGGGGAGCGGCAGACGGGUGAGUAACGCGUGGGAAUCUACCCUUUUCUACGGAAUAACGCAGGGAAACUUGUGCUAAUACCGUAUAAGCCCUUUGGGGGAAAGAUUUAUCGGGAAAGGAUGAGCCCGCGUUGGAUUAGCUAGUUGGUGGGGUAAAGGCCUACCAAGGCGACGAUCCAUAGCUGGUCUGAGAGGAUGAUCAGCCACAUUGGGACUGAGACACGGCCCAAACUCCUACAGGAGGCAGCAGUGGGGAAUAUUGGACAAUGGGCGCAAGCCUGAUCCAGCCAUGCCGCGUGAGUGAUGAAGGCCCUAGGGUUGUAAAGCUCUUUCACCGGUGAAGAUGAUGACGGUAACCGGAGAAGAAGCCCCGGCUAACUUCGUGCCAGCAGCCGCGGUAAUACGAAGGGGGCUAGCGUUGUUCGGAAUGACUGGGCGUACAGCGAACGUAGGCGGACAUUUAAGUCAGGGGUGAAAUCCCGGGGCUCAACCCCGGAACUGCCUUUGAUACUGGGUGUCUAGAGUAUGGAAGAGGUGAGUGGAAUUCCGAGUGUAUAGGUGAAAUUCGUAGAUAUUCGGAGGAACACCAGUGGCGAAGGCGGCUCACUGGUCCAUUACUGACGCUGAGGUGCGAAAGCGUGGGGAGCAAACAGGAUUACAUACCCUGGUAGUCC